UACGUAGGGUGCAAGCGUUAAUCGGAAUUACUGGGCGUAAAGCGUGCGCAGGCGGUUUUGUAAGUCUGACGUGAAAUCCCCGGGCUCAACCUGGGAAUUGCGUUGGAGACUGCAAGGCUAGAAUCUGGCAGAGGGGGGUAGAAUUCCACGUGUAGCAGUGAAAUGCGUAGAGAUGUGGAGGAACACCGAUGGCGAAGGCAGCCCCCUGGGUCAAGAUUGACGCUCAUGCACGAAAGCGUGGGGAGCAACAGG
rnacentral:rRNA from 1 species